ACUUGUAAAAAGGUAUUCUAGCUUGGAACAUAAGUGUUCGUGAAUAUGUGGUUGUUGACUAUUGCAGUGGACGGGAUCAAUGGCUACUGAAUGAGGAAGACAUUGACAUAUACUCACGCACGUUGCCAAAAUGUAUUGUCCGUAAGCUUGAUGACAAGGGACAGUUUCCCCUUUUGGAGGAUGGCGUAGAUCUGGCUACGAUCAUUAAGUGUACUUCUUUUUAUCGCCGUGGGAAGUCUCAUGAUCACAUUACGGAUUACAUUAUGCCUACCACAUAUGAGUUAAAACAACAAGUAGACGAUCACCGACUGGUAGUGGCUAGUACUUCCCCAGUAAUGCUGUCAACUCUAGAAGACGGAGCGAUUGUAAGGAGCCUCGAAGGAUUACCUUCAGAGGGACCUGUUCUGUA